UAGCCUACGGGGCGCAGCAGUGGGGAAUAUUGCACAAUGGGGGAAACCCUGAUGCAGCAACGCCGCGUGAGUGAAGAAGUCAUUCGUGAUGUAAAGCUCUAUCAGCAGGGAAGAAAAUGACGGUACCUGAGUAAGAAGUCCCGGCUAACUACGUGCCAGCAGCCGCGGUAAUACGGAGGAUGCGAGCGUUAUCCGGAUUUAUUGGGUUUAAAGGGUGCGCAGGCGGGAGAUCAAGUCAGCGGUAAAAUGUCGGGGCUCAACCCCGGCCGGCCGUUGAAACUGGUUUUCUAGAGUUGGAGAGAAGG
rnacentral:rRNA from 1 species